rnacentral:misc_RNA from 1 species
UUAUUAUCAACCAUGUCUCGAUUCAUUUUGAUACAUCGGCUUGGACUUUGGGAGCUGCUGGUGUGCCAUCUUAAAGGCUAUCAGCUCUUCUUAAAUAUAUUAGCGGUGGGUGGCUAGUCUUUUAGACGUGCACGGCCUUUUGACGUGAUAAUUCAUCUCAUCGUCAUGGCUGGA